rnacentral:tRNA from 1 species
GCGAUGGUGGUGUAGUUGGUUAUCACGUUUGUCUAACACGUGACGCCCUCAAAGGGGUUACAUGUGGUGCACAAAAGGUCCUGGGUUCAAGUCCCGGCCGUCGUA